CACACUAUCAUUAACUGAAUCCAUAGGUUAAUGAGGCGAACCGGGGGAACUGAAACAUCUAAGUACCCCGAGGAAAAGAAAUCAACCGAGAUUCCCCCAGUAGCGGCGAGCGAACGGGGAGCAGCCCAGAGCCUGAAUCAGUGUGUGUGUUAGUGGAAGCGUCUGGAAAGGCGCGCGAUACAGGGUGACAGCCCCGUACACAAAAAUGCACAUGCUGUGAGCUCGAUGAGUAGGGCGGGACACGUGGUAUCCUGUCUGAAUAUGGGGGGACCAUCCUCCAAGGCUAAAUACUCCUGACUGACCGAUAGUGAACCAGUACCGUGAGGGAAAGGCGAAAAGAACCCCGGCGAGGGGAGUGAAAAAGAACCUGAAACCGUGUACGUACAAGCAGUGGGAGCACGCUUAGGCGUGUGACUGCGUACCUUUUGUAUAAUGGGUCAGCGACUUAUAUUCUGUAGCAAGGUUAACCGAAUAGGGGAGCCGAAGGGAAACCGAGUCUUAACUGGGCGUUAAGUUGCAGGGUAUAGACCCGAAACCCGGUGAUCUAGCCAUGGGCAGGUUGAAGGUUGGGUAACACUAACUGGAGGACCGAACCGACUAAUGUUGAAAAAUUAGCGGAUGACUUGUGGCUGGGGGUGAAAGGCCAAUCAAACCGGGAGAUAGCUGGUUCUCCCCGAAAGCUAUUUAGGUAGCGCCUCGUGAA
rnacentral:rRNA from 1 species